rnacentral:sRNA from 1 species
UACCCUGGGCGUGGCCUUACUUGUAGA